AAAGCCUUAUUCCAAGAAUUCCCACAAAAAAAUGGCAGAAGCUUUAUACAAAACUAAAAAUCCAAUCCCAAACACUGAAAACUUAAUCCCAAUUAGGAUCAAGCUUGAUUGUUCGGCCUAUACCUUGUUGUCCCAAGUUAUGGAGAUAUACAUCUCCGAAAAAGAUAAACUGGGCUAUCUAAAUGGCGACUCUCCACCGCCUUCACAAACUGAUCCCACCUUUUGAAAAUGACGAAUCGAAAAUGCCAUUGUUAAAGGUUGAUCAAUUAACUCUAUGAACCCAGCCCUUAUUGGAAAUUUCAUUCGAUUCUCCACUACAAAAGUAGUUUGGGAUGCUAUUGCCACGACCUUCUUCAAUAGAAGUGAUGCUUCUAAAGUUUAUGAACUUUGACAAUGAGUUAAUCAGCUGAGUCAAUCAGGUAGCUCGUUGGAGAAAUAUUGCACGAAUUUGCAAGGGCUGUGGCACGAGAUUGACUUCCGCUGCCCCAAUCCAAUGGAAUGUGCCACUGAUAUUCAAUGCUACAAUAAGAUGCUCCUAAAAGAUCGAGUUUGUACCUUCUUGCAUAGACUCGAUGACCACCUGGAUGAGACAUUUCCAUCGAACAAGCCUACGUCCAUGUAGGGCAGCGAGGCACUUAGGCAAGCAAUCAUGUCCUCCUCCAA
rnacentral:lncRNA from 1 species